rnacentral:hammerhead_ribozyme from 1 species
AUCCAGCUGAUGGGUUCCAAAUAGGAUGAGACACAUGUCCUGGAU